UACGGAGGGUGCAAGCGUUGUCCGGAUUUAUUGGGUUUAAAGGGUGCGUAGGCGGCCCGUUAAGUCAGCGGUGAAAUCCCAGGGCUCAACCCUGGAACUGCCGUUGAUACUGGCGGGCUUGAGUUCGGCGAAGGCGGGCGGAACUGGCGGUGUAGCGGUGAAAUGCUUAGAUACCGCCAAGAACCCCGAUUGCGUAGGCAGCUCGCUGUGCCGAAACUGACGCUGAGGCACGAAAGCGUGGGGAGCGAACAGG
rnacentral:rRNA from 1 species